AUGCUCACCGUGAAGGGGUUCAACACGACUAUGUGUCGCAUGUGCUACCAGGACGACAAUGAUGCCAGCAAUGGGAGCAGCAGUAGCGACUCUGGCUACAGCAAAAGCAGCAGCAACUCUGGCUAUAGCAAAAGUAGCAGCGAGGAUGAGGAGGAACGGAGUGGAGAAGAAGAGGAGCAGAGCAGGGAUGAGGAGGUGCAGCCUAUUCUAUCUGACGAUGACCACAUGAUGGUGGUGCCAGACAAUGACCUAGCAAUAGUGGUGCCUGAAGAUGGCCUCGCGAUGGUGGUGGUGCCUAACGAUGACCUCGCGAUGGUGGUGGCGCCGGUGAUCCCACAGCUAGGCAACAGGACCAUGUGA
rnacentral:rRNA from 1 species